CACGUUAAAGAACCCCAGGUGGUCGAAAUUUCCGGGGCCCUUCACUACGGCGUCUCCCAUAAUCAUAUGGUGGUUUUGGGACCUUAAAGGGGCCCUGCAACACCUUUCUUAGUUAUAUUGGAAUAGUCUCAUUAUUGACGUAUGACUCUUAACGAGUCAUAUGCCGC
rnacentral:lncRNA from 1 species